CUCUUUAUUUUUCAGGGCAGUCUUUGCUACUGUAAACAUCCUUGACUGGAAGCUGUAAGGUGUUGAGAGGAGCUUUCAGUCGGAUGUUUACAGCGGCAGGCUGCCACAGUCGUCCCUGGCUGCG
rnacentral:precursor_RNA from 14 species